rnacentral:misc_RNA from 1 species
UGGGUAUUAUUAGGAUAAUACAUUUCAAAUCGGUUAGUUGGUUGACAGCUGAGCCGAGUAUCGCUAAUAGACAGUUGACAGUUUGUUGUAUACAUAAAUCGGCAUGAAUCGGGAAUAGUGUGAGUGAUUAGUGCGCACUAUUAGGACAAUUGAAAAUUGAUUGGAAGUGAUCAUUAAGCUUGACAGGUAUUUCACCUAAACGUGUGAGUAACGCAAUAUGGCGCAAUACUUGGAUUCGGAUCACCGUCAAAUGUUGUCUCCACAAUAUCAAACCAGAUCUCUGGAUAUGAGCACCAAACUUCAAGACAAUAAACCAUCCUUCUGCAUAGACGCUUUAUUAUCUAGAUCGGAUGCUUUACUUGCUAGAACAGAUUCCAUAAUAACCAGAACGACAGAUCGAGAUCAGGUCAACUCUCCCGAAACCUCACGAAGUAUAUCCCCAACCUCAACAAGAAGUAGAAGCCCUCCUAUAUCCCCUGGCAGCGAAGAAGUACCGCAAAGCACAUUCGUCCCGAGGCCAGGGUUACUGAGUCACAUCUAUCCCAACGGGGGAGGAUUCUAUGGGUAUCAGUCACAAAACCAGAGCUCCGCAUUCCAUUCGUUAGAUGGAAGUAUGGUUCAAAAAGUUCAUAUGCCUGUUGGACACCACAACCAAAAUCACAUUCAUCAGAUGCAGCUGGAAUGGUUUGCAAGAACUGGCAUGUUUUAUCCGAGGUUACCAGAUUUAACAGGGUGUGGUCCUGGUCACGCAUUACUAGGAAAAACAAGAAGGCCCAGAACAGCAUUUACCUCGCAGCAACUUUUGGAAUUAGAAAAACAGUUUAGGCAAAACAAAUAUCUUUCCAGGCCAAAACGGUUUGAGGUGGCAACUAAUCUAAUGUUAACGGAAACACAGGUAAAAAUAUGGUUCCAAAAUCGCAGAAUGAAAUGGAAACGCAGUAAAAAGGCCCAUCAGGAAGCCAAGUCGUCCAAAGAACCUUCGGAAAGUAAACCUCAACCUGUAAGCUGCUUCAAGUCAUGUUCCUCGAGCUCCGAAACAACAGAAUGUACUACCACAGCGGAAAUGUGCCAACCCUCAAAAAGAACCGAGGAAAACGAAUCUCUGUAUAGGCCAUACGUUGUUUAGAGACAUAAAUUAGUGGACAAAGUGUAAAUAUAUCAGAGUUUCGCUCAAUGUCGAUAGGAGUGUACAUCUAAAACAGCCGGUAUACGGUUUUUCUUUCAACAAAAUACAUUUUCAAACGCAACAAUCACGUACCUAUAUUUUUCCUUGUACAGAUCAAGACGAGCUAAUAAAACCUAUUUAUGAACCCCAAUUUAACAUAAAGAAUAUACAGGGUGUCCAGAAACUCUACGUUAAAGGAGGACAGGAGAUUCCUCAGAUAAUUUUAAGACAAUUUAACCCAAUUCACCUAGUCCGAAAAUGCUUCCUAAGGGAGCUAGAGCUCUUUGAAGAUGGCGUCAUAUAAUUAGUUUUUCUUAAAUACCUCCAGAACGCUUUUAUUUAGAAAAACAAAAAUUAGUGUGCGUAUUUAUUUUCCAGAAAUGAAUCGAUUCCAUCCAUUGGGCAUUUCCAGUACCGGUCAUAGGCGUCCGUUUUGGGUAGGGCAACGGUUAUUUUAUUGCCUAACUUUUUUGUCUUUAAUUUUUAAGCAUGUUUGACUCUGAAUUAUUAAAUUGUGAGGUAUUCUAGUACUAAAAGGUACUCUUAGUUAAAGUCGAUAGGAUACACUGUUUUCUGGAAAAAAUCGGUUUGAAAAUUUUUCGUUCUUUGAGUUUCAAAAAAAAAAGAUUAAAAAAAACUAUUUAGAAAGAUAAAAACUGAUACAUUUAUUUAUAUUCCAUAGAUUAAUCGAUUUCAUUAAUGGCGAAUUUCUAGUACCGGUCAUAGGCGUCCGUUGUGGGUAAAUCAACAGUUAUUUUAUAGCAUAACUUUAUUGUCUUUAAUUUUUAAGUAUUUUUGACACUAGAUUAUUCAAUUAUGAGAUAUUCGAGUAUUAAAAGUUACUCUUGCUUUAAGUUGGUAAAAAACAUCGUUUUUUUUUAUUUUUUUUUUUCAAAUUCCCAAAACUAAAAACAUUCAAAUCGAUUUUUCUAGAAAACGGUGUGACCUACCGACUUAAAGUAAGAGUACCUUUUAGAACUAGAAUACCUCACAAUUUAAUAAUCCCGUAUCAAAAAUACUUAAAAGUUGAAGACAAAAAAGUUAUACGAUAAAAUAUCCGUUGCCCUACCCAAAACGGAUGCCUAUGACCGGUACUAGAAAUUUGCAAUGGAUGGAAUCAAUUCCGUUCUGGAAAGUAAAUACGUAUACCAAUUUUCGUUUUUCCAAAUAGAAGCGUUCUGGAGGUAUUUAAGAAAAACUAAUUACAUGGCGCCAUCUUCAAAGAGCUCUAGCUCCCUUAGGAAGCAUUUUCGGACUAGGUGAAUUGGGUUCAAUUGUAUUAAAAUUAUCUGAGGAAUCUCCUGUCUUCGUUUGUCGGUAGAGUUUCUGGACACCAUGUAUAUUGUUUGUAAGACAUUCUUUUUCAAAAUAAAAAUGGAAGAUUUUAGAUAGGUGUAUUCAAUGAAAGUAAAUUGAAAUGCAUUGAAGAACGCUUUAAAAAUAGAGAAAUUAGAAACUUAUGUCAAUGGGUAAAAAAUGGGAAAAGGGAUACCAAAGAAAACCUCUACAGGACAAAAGCAAAAAUGGAAGGAAUUUAGUAAAAGACGAGGAAACACUGAAGAGAUAAAAAAAUACUUCGAAAAGCUUGUAAAUGAAAUACCUACCCAUAAUAGACUAUGAAAAAGAAGAAUCAAAGGAAAAUACCAAUCAAGAACGAACAGAGGAAAGCGCCUAAUGAAAAAGAAAUAAUAAAGAAACUAAAGAACAAUUGGAGCCCAGGAAAGGAUUAACUGACAGCUGAAAUGUUCAAAUAUACCUAGAGUCUAGAGUACCAGUACCAGUACUAAUUAAGCAUUUGGAAAAAUGGCUGAAAGAAAUAUGGGAAGAAUAGCACAUACCGAAAGAAUGAACCAAAGUCACAAUGUGUCCAAUUCCCAAAAAUGGCGACAAAAGUUUAUGCCAUAAUGACAGAGAAAUAGACCUACUAAAUGUUGCAUAUAAAACACUUGUUAAAAAAAUAACAAAGCUGUUGUAAAAUUCCAAAAUAUUAAUGAUAACUGAAAAAAAACAUAAUAUUUUAAUAUGACUACCCCUACUAAAUGUACUUAAUAUUUACUAAUAAAAAUUCUAAAUCACUUUAAAAUUCAAUCCCAACAUUCAAUUCUAUAAAAUGCUAAAAAUCACUUGAUUGCCCUAUAACAAAUGUUUAUGCUCUUAUUUUAGCACUUAAAAUUGAAAUUGAUAGUUUGAAAAUGUGCCGUAUAUAAUAGAUAAAUCCUUGAAAAACUUUGUAACGAUAAUUUUUAUAGAAUAAAAUAGUACUUUAGCUCAAUUACGAAAUUUUAAUCUCAUUUAAUAAGAUUAAGGGAUUAGUUUAGGUAUGUGAUAAGUUGCGAUUUUACAUCGUUUUUUUUUAUACCAAGAAAUAUAUAUCAGAAAAUACUUUCAAAACAAAAAAAUUAUAUUUUAAUUACAUAUAUCCUUGAAUCAAUUACGAUUUUACAAUAAUUCUAAUAGAUAUGCGGUAAAUAAACGAUACGCAAUAGCAUCGGCCAUUUUUAAUUUUUUUUUAUUUUUAACUGAGCAAUAAAAAUGAACAUCACUUUAAAAAUUAACAUGCUGGCUUGAGAGAAUUUUAUGUAUUCAUAUACUAGCGUAAUGAGUUACUUCUCCAAUGAAACAAUAUUAAUCUUUCUUCCCUUAGGUCUUUUGUUCAUGUUCUCCAUCCAUGUUUCUUGAGUCUUCUACUUUGCAGUCUUUCUAUGAGUUGUUUCGUCUCCCCUCUUCUUUCUUCUGCAUAUUUUUUCUACCUUUCUUCGUUCUUCUUUAAAUUUUUUGCACCUUUCUCGUGUUCUUCUGUGAGUAUACUGCACGUAUAGUUCAUUUUUAUCUUUUGCUUCUUUAAAUUGUUCAUUAAACCAAAGCUAUCUUCUUUGAUGUUUUUUAAUUCCUAUCACUCUUAAAGCAGUUUCUCAUAUUAACUUCUUAAUCAUAUUCUAUUCUUCUUCUUCUAUUGUUUCUUCUAUCUCUUUUCGACGAAUUCCCUAUUCAAUUCUUCUCGCAAUCGCAAAGCAGUUAGCAGGUUCCGAAAUUAAAACUGGAAUGACGAGAUGACUUCAAAAAUUUUGGACUAAUUACGAUGCUGUGCCACCUACAUAUACCUUUUUUUGGACUGAGGUGGAACGCUCUUAUCUAACUAGGGAAGAUGUCCCUAGUACUGUUGGACUCGGACAGGAGAGGAGAACACGCCAGGGCACAGAGACCAGAGUAUGGUCCAUGUGUCCCGCGUGCCCCCCAUAACCAGCCGCCUACCAACUAAAACCACCCCCUCUUCCGACCCGGAAUAUCCCUGAACGUGUUCAGUGGAUGAACGAAACAUGGGGAUAUUCCGCGCAGUCUAAAAAGGAUGUCUGAAGAUAUCUUACGUGUUAAAAAAUCCUAUUAUGCUUGCCUAGAAGCGGCAGGCACAUAGCAGGAAGUCUGUAUCUAAAGUUUGAAUAACUGAACCCAAAGCACCUGCCUAAAAGCGGCAAACGCUUGUGGAAUAGGUCCUGGCUCAAAAGUUUCACCAGAGCAGCGGAGAAACGUAGCUAGACGUGUUAUCGUAUCUAUGGUCCUGGAUCAGGGAUUCCUCUCAAGAGGGAGAAAAAAUUGUCUUUAGAAAGGAGAAUUAAGGUGUUGGAUAUACAUAUACCUAUAAGGUGCUCGAACGAAUGAUUCUUAAUAAGCUAACAGCUGCUAUUGAUCGUCUUCUAAUCACCCAAUAAGCUGGAUUUAGACCUGGUGAAGGUAGCACCUGGCAACUACUUAAACUAACUCAAAACGUAGUACUGAAUAAUGGUUUCGAAGGUCGCAAAAUCCCUGGGGCAGUGUUUAUAGAUCUUACAGUUGCCUAUGACACAGAUGAGCAUAGGAUGCUUAUUGGGAAACUUAGGGCACAAAAUAAUAGACAGCUUCAAGGAAGAACUUUGGUCCCAACUCUAAUAUCGAUAAGAACGACAUACCUUUAUUAUCAGGUACACAGAGCUUUAUAUACGCAGAUGAUUAUGCCAUUACAGUCCAGGCCGACGAUUUCGAAACUACUGAACAAAAAUUAUCCAAAGCUCUCAUAUGCAAAUGCUGUCGUAGAGUUCUGCCAAUUAUGUUCCACAAAUUUUCGAACAGGUUAAGAUCUGGACUAUGCGAUGACCAAUGCAAAGUGCGAAGAUUUACCUGUUCUAAAUAUUUGUAAUCGAACUGCUAUAGUUCGUAAACGUGGUCUCGCCAUUAUCGUGCAUUAGCAAAAAAUUGUUACCGAUAUAAGGAGCCAAUAGCAUGGUAGCUAAGACCUUCGCUUAAUUUAUCACUACACUCAUCGUGGGUCAAAUUCCUUGUAGCGCGUUCCAUUUCCACCAAAUAACAAAAAAAAAACUACGGACUUAAUUGAAACUUUUUCUAUUCUCUCAUACUAUAAUAUAUCAAUUAUGAUGUCACUACCUGUAUCAUAAUGAACUUCAUUAUGAUACAGAUUUUCAUUAAGAUACAGAUUUUUAACCAAUAGAAUCGCGAUAUGGCAUUCGUGAUAAUGGCAUUCGCGAUAAAGGUGGUACACGCGCAGUGACCAAUGGCGAGUCAAAUACAUACGCUUUGACAGUUCUCAAUAUGUAAACAAACCGUCAAACUGGCAAACGUCUGAAUUUAUUUGUGUUACAAAAUUAAUAAAUUUGAAUAUAUUUUUUGUUGUGAAUGAUCAUAGAAAAAAUAGUGUAUACAACUUGCAUUUAAUUAUCAUUAUGAAGCUCGUAUUCUAUACGAAACUCGCCGCAUACGGCUCGUUUCGUAUCCCUCAUAUACUCGCUUUAUAAUGACCAUCAUUAAAUGCUCGUUGCAUAAUAUACUAUUAACCCGGGAGUAGUCGCGCUCACUUCUGUAACGUCGAUAGUCGCGUGUGAGAUUCUAUCUCAAAAUACGAAUUUAAAACACAUUUUCAUUUUGUACUAUUUUUAUCUACUUUUUAUAUUGAAAAUAUAUAUUUCUAACAAUUUUAUUAAAAAACCUGUGUUAACGGCCAUCUGCCAACAUCAGCCACCUGUCCUAACGGCCAGUUUAAAAAUUUCCCAAACCAAUUAUAUGUAGACUACAAAAACUGGCAAUAGCGGCCACCUUUCUAUAUCGGCCAAUAGUUCUUUCAUUUUUAGUGGCCGUUACUGACAGGUUUUACUGUAUUACGAAAAAGGAUGAAAUGUGAGAUUCUAUCUAACGGCGCGACUACUCGCGGGUUAAAGCUAAUUGGCUCUCCCCAAAGCCAUAAAUUCCACAAAAAGAAGAAGAAGAAAAAGAAAUUCCUACUCAUUACUACACCCUUCCUCGAGGCACUUACGAAAUUUUUUCAAAAUUGCAAAACUUUUCAUCAAGUUAUCGUGAAAAAGGAUAAAAAUUGAGAAUUCUAUCUCACCGCGCGACUACUCGCGGGUUAAAUAAUAAAUCUACUAAUUUCCACAACAAACCAGACACUUUUUCACUGUUAACCAUUUGACAUCCAUAUCCAUUAAAUUGUUAAUUUCUCAUAGCCUACUUUAGGCUUGUUUAUUAAACUAAGCAGAAAAUGAGGACUUAUUGAUGAAAAACUUCGCUAGCUGUUAACGUACCUAACUUUUUUAUUAUCCAACAUAAGCAAAUGAAUUAAAAAAGAAACUGUUAAUAAAGCCUAAGGCUACAAUUGAAUUUUAAUUUAAAUAUUUUUUACAUGCUAGAAUAUUCCACAGGGUGUUCCGAACUUUAAGAAAAAAACACAUUAUGAUUGUUACACCCGGUAUAAAAUGACCUUUACCUGUUUAAGAAAUUCGAGACUUCUAACGUGUACAAUUGAGUCGAUUAUUUUUCUCUUAAGUGUAUUAUUAAUCAAUUAUAAAAAUAGAUUUAUUUACAAAAAAAUAUUCUAUAAUUCGGUAUAUUAUUUUGUCAAAUGAUAGAAAAAUUGUUCCCUUGAUACAAUUUUUGUAAUACACAUAAUAAAUACUAAUUUAGUUGAAAUGUAGCCAUGUUUAUAUAAACAUAGAUAGAGAAUGAUAAAUAUUUCUUGGUAUUGAUAAACUACCACUUUUCGAGAAUUUUGUAGCAUACUGUAUAUUAUGUGUAUAUAGGAUAAUUUAUUUCAUCCCAACCAUAUUUGUUUGGUUGUUAUUGGAUCUCUUUAAGUUGUAAGUACUACCUCAUUAUUUUUUACGUGUUUCUGGUGUAUAUAUUUGAGGUUCCUAUAUAGAGAAGAACUGGAUUAUAUAAGUACUUCAGAUCAAAUAGUUUUAAAAGAUUUUAAAUAUUCAUGAACAACUAAUUUUGACAUUAUUUUUGUUAUCUUAAAAUUCAAACAAAAUAAUAAACAUUGGCUCUCAGGGAAAACCUUGGAAUUAAUGGAAAAAGGAAGAGUUAUGCUACUCUACAACAUACCAUAAAACAGAAAACAACAUUCAAGAACUACCGAAACUAAACAGUAAAAUAAAAUGGAUGUGCCAGAAAAGGAUCAGACAUUUUCUUAUAAAGUAGCAAUAACAUUCUUUAUUCUGAAUAAUUCCUAGUUUAAUAUUUUCUUCUGGAUUUCGUAAUAGUCUUCCCAGUAUCGAAGAUCUUGUUCCUAGGUAUGAUUUCUCUAUGUUUUUCUGUGUAGGUUUUUAGAUCCUAAUACCACCGACCCUUGGAGGACUUAUUAAAAAGUCUUCAGUACUCAAAAAAAUUGUAACUUUGACUUUAUGUAAAAGCCUGACAGAUCUUCUGUUUCUAUUGCGCCUGUCUGGCGCACGUGUAAAGCUUUUACAUGUGCCCAGUGCCCAGACAGAAACCUUUAGCUGCUGCUAUCAACCGGGUUAGAUGAAACUUGGUUUUUUAGAGUUGUUGCUUCUCUGUACCUCCCUUCACUCUCAUCCACAACUCUUCAAUGUUUAUAAGAAUAUGCUGAUUUCCUCUGAUUGAAGGUUUUUGCUCAAUUUUUUCUAUCUUACGCUAGCUCUGAAGAUCAAAUGCACCAGCAGAAUUUUUUUAAUGCACCACAUUUUUUUACGAAAUUUGGUGAAAGUUUUUUAUGUACCAAACAUAUUGUUAUCAUCAUUAUCUUUGCCAUUAUCCCUACGCGUUGUCGGCUUCUCUAAUUUCUAUUUUAUGGAGAUAUCAACAUCAAUACCUUUACCGACAUGUCCUGUCUAAGCGUCUCCCCUCAGGUCUUCUUUGGUCUUCCUCUCCUGCUUCUUCCAGGAACUCACUGUUCAGCAAUUCUUCUUAUUGGGUGAUUAACAUCGAAAACCAUCUUAGCCCAUGCUCCCUCAUUUUGGUAUCAAUACGUGCCACCUAGACUUUCCCUAAUACACUUAUUCCUAAUUUUAUCCCUUUUUAUUAUUCCACUCAUCCAUCUAAGCAUUCUCAUUUCUGCCAUGUGCAUUCGCUGUUCCUCUUCUUUUUUAAUUGCUCAGCAUUCAAUUCCGUAUAUCAUAGCCGGUCUUAGAGCUGUUUUAUAGAAUUUUCCCUUCAGCAUCAUUGGAAUCCACUCAGCCCUAAUGCUGGUGAAUACAUCUCUAUCUAUUUCCCCAUUACUCGGUAAUACCGAUCCUAGGUAUUUAAAACUCUCACUCUUCACAAUCAUUUCACCAUCCAAAAAUAUUCAUUUUAUUUGUAAUAAGUCCAUAUUUUCCCAUUAUUUUGAUUUAAUUUUGGUUGGACUGCUUUUUGAAAAACGUUGGUACCUUUUUUUCAUUUAUAUCUCUACUCUCUGAACAUAAAUAUACAUUAUUAUGGCAAAUUUUCCCAGAAAAUUCAAGAAAACAAAAAACUCAAAUUAAAAAAAAAUUAAUUAUGUAAAAUUUUGAUCUAUUUAUUAAAAUUUAUAAUUUAUUUAAUCAAAAAAAGGUAAUAUGCCGUGUAACAAUGAUAAAAGAAAACAUUUCAAAUUAAUGAAAAGUCUUUCUUACUUUUCUUGAAAUAGUUCUUGCAAUUAUUUCUGACAAAUAUGUAUGUAUUUUUCACAUAACUCGUACAAUUAUAAUCCAGUCCAUCUCUGUUUCUAUCUAAGUAAGAUAAAAUAAUGUAAUUAAUAAAAAGUUUUACCAAUA